AGAGUUUGAUCCUGGCUCAGGAUGAACGCUAGCGGCAGGCCUAACACAUGCAAGUCGAACGGUAACAGGGAAAAGCUUGCUUUUCCGCUGACGAGUGGCGCACGGGUGCGCAACGCGUAUAGAACCUACCCUGUACAGGGGGAUAGCCCGGAGAAAUCCGGAUUAAUACCCCGUGGUAAUUAGAAUCGGCAUCGGUUUUAAUUUAAAGUUUCGGCGGUACAGGAUGGCUAUGCGUCCUAUUAGUUAGAUGGUGAGGUAACGGCUCACCAUGGCAUCGAUAGGUAGGGGCCCUGAGAGGGGGAUCCCCCACACUGGUACUGAGACACGGACCAGACUCCUACGGGAGGCAGCAGUGAGGAAUAUUGGACAAUGGGCUCACGCCUGAUCCAGCCAUGCCGCGUGCAGGAAGAAAGCCCUAUGGGUUGUAAACUGCUUUUAUACGGGAAGAAUAAGGGACACGUGUGUCCUGGUGACGGUACCGUAAGAAUAAGGACCGGCUAACUCCGUGCCAGCAGCCGCGGUAAUACGGAGGGUCCGAGCGUUAUCCGGAAUUAUUGGGUUUAAAGGGUCCGCAGGCGGGCAAUUAAGUCAGGGGUGAAAUGGUGCGGCUCAACCGUAGCACUGCCCUUGAUACUGGUUGUCUUGAGUCAUAGUGAAGUGGCCGGAAUAUGUAGUGUAGCGGUGAAAUGCAUAGAUAUUACAUAGAACACCGAUUGCGAAGGCAGGUCACUAACUAUGUACUGACGCUGAUGGACGAAAGCGUGGGGAGCGAACGGGAUUAGAUACCCCGGUAGUCCACGCCGUAAACGAUGGAUACUAGCUGUCGGGACUUCGGUCUCGGCGGCCAAGCGAAAGUGAUAAGUAUCCCACCUGGGGAGUACGUUCGCAAGAAUGAAACUCAAAGGAAUUGAUGG
rnacentral:rRNA from 1 species